rnacentral:rRNA from 1 species
GAUGAACGCUGGCGGCGUGCCUAAUACAUGCAAGUCGAGCGAACAGACGAGGAGCUUGCUCCUUCGACGUUAGCGGCGGACGGGUGAGUAACACGUAGGUAACCUACCUAUAAGAAUGGGAUAACUUCGGGAAACCGGAGCUAAUACCGGAUAAGAUUUCGAACCGCAUGGUUCGAUAGUGAAAGAUGGCUUUGCUAUCACUUAUAGAUGGACCUGCGCCGUAUUAGCUAGUUGGUAAGGUAACGGCUUACCAAGGCAACGAUACGUAGCCGACCUGAGAGGGUGAUCGGCCACACUGGAACUGAGACACGGUCCAGACUCCUACGGGAGGCAGCAGUGGGGAAUCUUCCGCAAUGGGCGCAAGCCUGACGGAGCAACGCCGCGUGCGUGAUGAAGGUCUUCGGGUCGUAAAACUCUGUUAUUAGGGAAGAACAAACGUGUAAGUAACUGUGCACGUCUUGACGGUACCUAAUCAGAAAGCCCCGGCUAACUACGUG